rnacentral:rRNA from 1 species
CCUACGGGUGGCAGCAGUGAGGAAUAUUGGUCAAUGGCCGAGAGGCUGAACCAGCCAAGUCGCGUGAGGGAUGACGGCCCUACGGGUUGUAAACCCCUUUUGUUGGGGAGCAAAGAGAGUCACGUGUGGCUCAUUGAGAGUACCCGAAUAAAAAGCAGCGGCUAACUCAGUGCCAGCAGGCGCGGUAAUACGGAGGAUGCGAGCGGUAUCCGGGUUUAUUGGGUGUAAGGGGUGCUCAGGCGGUGGUGCAAGGCAGUGGUCAAAUUGGGGGGAUCAACCCCGUACUGCCGUUGAAACUGCAUCCCUUGAGUGCGCGAGAAGUAUGCGGAAUGCGUGGUGUAGCGGUGAAAUGCAUAGAUAUCACGCAGAACUCCGAUUGCGAAGGCAGCAUACCGGCGCGCAACUGACGCUCAUGCACGAAAGCGUGGGUAUCGAACAGGAUUAGAUACCCCUGUAGUC